rnacentral:rRNA from 1 species
UAGGCGGAAUGUUGCGUAAAGGGAAAGGUCGUAGUCAAACCCUACAACCACACGAACUCUAAGUAAGCCUCGAAUAGGCUGUCCCAACUAACGGCGGGAGAGACUCCACGGAGGGUGUAAGACCCGUGUGGGCGUGUGUCAAUGUUGUAUGGGCUCGGCCUCUUCUCUGAGAGUCGCGUUGCUUGAGCAUGCAGCGCUAAGCAGGUCGUAAACUCGAUCUAAGACUAAAUAUUUCCACAAGACCGAUAGCAAACAAGUACCGUGAGGGAAAGUUGAAAAGCACUCUGAAGAGAGAGUCAAAAGACCGU